UACGUAGGUGGCAAGCGUUGUCCGGAAUUAUUGGGCGUAGAGCGCGCGCAGGCGGUUUCUUAAGUCUGAUGUGAAAGCCCACGGCUCAACCGUGGAGGGUCAUUGGAAACUGGGAGACUUGAGUGCAGAAGAGAAGAGCGGAAUUCCACGUGUAGCGGUGAAAUGCGUAGAGAUGUGGGGGAACACCAGUGGCGAAGGCGGCUCUUUGGUCUGUAACUGACGCUGAGGCGCGAAAGCGUGGGGAGCGAACAGG
rnacentral:rRNA from 1 species